rnacentral:lncRNA from 1 species
GCGCCCCAGCCCAAUCGAACACGGGAUGAGCUGGGCACACUGUACGUCUUUGUCGCCUCGCCAUCAUCUGCGACUGAGUGAACCGUGGCCUAGUUGAACAAGAAAUGUUUAUUAUUCCAACAAUUUUUUUCUGGGAGCAAAACGAAAUUAUAUAGCCAAUAGUGGCAGAAGCACUUUCUGAUUACACACCUCGCAGUUCAACAUGGCAACAACUUCAUGCAUGUGACGAUCCCCUUUCCUGCCAAUUCUUGUACGCGGGUAGUUCUACUCCAAGUGAUCUCUUUCCCGUGUGCAUGCGCUGGAGGAAUUC